rnacentral:misc_RNA from 1 species
GUGGGAGGGGGCUUGCUCCCGAUAGCAGCUUGUCAGCCAAUGAAGUGUGACUGAUGCACCGCCAUCGGGAGCAAGCCCCCUCCCAC